rnacentral:rRNA from 1 species
AUGAACGCUGGCGGCGUGCCUAAUACAUGCAAGUCGAGCGAACGGACGAGAAGCUUGCUUCUCUGAUGUUAGCGGCGGACGGGUGAGUAACACGUGGAUAACCUACCUAUAAGACUGGGAUAACUUCGGGAAACCGUAGCUAAUACCGGAUAAUAUUUUGAACCGCAUGGUUCAAAAGUGAAAGACGGUCUUGCUGUCACUUAUAGAUGGAUCCGCGCUGCAUUAGCUAGUUGGUAAGGUAACGGCUUACCAAGGCAACGAUGCAUAGCCGACCUGAGAGGGGGAUCGGCCACACUGGAGCUGAGACACGGUCCAGACUCCUACGGGAGGCAGCAGUAGGGAAUCUUCCGCAAUGGGCGAAAGCCUGACGGAGCAACGCCGCGUGAGUGAUGAAGGUCUUCGGAUCGUAAAACUCUGUUAUUAGGGAAGAACAUAUGUGUAAGUAACUGUGCACAUCUUGACGGUACCUAAUCAGAAAGCCACGGCUAACUACGUG